GAGGUUUUAGCUUAAUUAAAGUGUCUGAGUUGCAAUCAGAGGUUGUAAAAUAGAAUUUUACAGGCCUUC
rnacentral:tRNA from 1 species